AACGUAGGUGGCAAGCGUUAUCCGGAUUUACUGGGCGUAAAGCGUGUGCAGGCGGGUUUCCAAGUGGUGUAUGAAAUCGCCCGGCUCAACCGGGCGGGGUUAUGCCAGACUGGGAGCCUGGAGGACGGGAGAGGGGCGUGGAAUUCCGGGUGUAGUGGUGAAAUGCGUAGAGAUCCGGAGGAACCCCAGCGGCGAAGGCGGCGCCCUGGCCCGCACCUGACGCUCAGACACGACAGCAUGGGGAG
rnacentral:rRNA from 1 species